rnacentral:rRNA from 1 species
UACGUAGGGUGCGAGCGUUGUCCGGAAUUAUUGGGCGUAAAGAGCUCGUAGGCGGUCUGUCGCGUCGAUCGUGAAAACUUGGGGCUUAACCCUGAGCUUGCGGUCGAUACGGGCAUGACUGGAGUUCGGCAGGGGGAGACUGGAAUUCCCCGGUGUAGCGGUGAAAUGCGCAGAUAUUGGGAGGAACACCAAUGGCGAAGGCAGCUCGCUGGGACGUUACUGACGCUGAGACGCGAAAGCGUGGGGGAGCAAACAGG